AACGAACGCUGGCGGCAGGCCUAACACAUGCAAGUCGAACGCUCCGCAAGGAGAGUGGCAGACGGGUGAGUAACACGUGGGAAUCUUCCUGUUGGUUCGGAAUAGCUCAGGGAAACUUGGGGUAAUACCGGAUAAGCCCGAGAGGGGAAAGAUUUAUCGCCGACAGAUGAGCCCGCGUCUGAUUAGCUAGUUGGUGAGGUAAUGGCUCACCAAGGCGACGAUCAGUAGCNGGUCUGAGAGGAUGACCAGCCACACUGGGACUGAGACACGGCCCAGACUCCUACCGGGAGGCAGCAGUGGGAAUCUUGCGCAAUGGGCGAAAGCCUGACGCAGCGACGCCGCGUGAGGGAUGACGGCCU
rnacentral:rRNA from 1 species